GCCCGGGUAGCUCAAUCGGUAGAGCGUGUGGCUCUUAAAAGACCAUAAUCCGGAUAUUUAGGCACCUCAAGGUUGCGGGUUCGAGUCCCGCCUCGGGCU
rfam:Oidiodendron maius Zn unplaced genomic scaffold scaffold_3, whole genome shotgun sequence.